rnacentral:rRNA from 1 species
UACAGAGGUCUCAAGCGUUGUUCGGAUUCAUUGGGCGUAAAGGGUGCGUAGGUGGCGUCGUAAGUCGGGUGUGAAAUUUCGGAGCUUAACUCCGAACUGCAUUCGAUACUGCGGUGCUUGAGGACUGGAGAGGAGACUGGAAUUUACGGUGUAGCAGUGAAAUGCGUAGAGAUCGUAAGGAAGACCAGUGGCGAAGGCGGGUCUCUGGACAGUUCCUGACACUGAGGCACGAAGGCCAGGGGAGCAAACGGG